UUUCCGUAGGUGAACCUGCGGAAGGAUCAUUAUCGAGUUUUGACUGGGUUGUAGCUGGCCUUCCGAGGCAUGUGCACGCCCUGCUCAUCCACUCUACACCUGUGCACCCUUGCGUGGGUCCGUCGGCUUUGCGGUCGUUCGGGCUUGCGUUUUUUCUAUAAACUCUUAUGUAUGUAACAGAAUGUCUUAAUGCUAUAAACGCAUCUUAUACAACUUUCAACAACGGAUCUCUUGGCUCUC
rnacentral:misc_RNA from 1 species